AUAACGUUUCAACAACAUGUAAUUCUACACAAAGUGUUUUAUCACAGACUGUAAAAGUGACAGACUUCUGACAGAGGCUUUUUGGAACACCGAAGCCAUGACGUAGCGUUGUCAAGGCAGCAUUUUCACUGGAUCUAAACAAAUCAAUCUAACCAUUGAAAUCACCAUAGCCCAGAGACCUGGCAUAGAUCGUGUAGAAAGUCAAAUUAUUUUUCAAUAUUGGGCUUUGAAAAUAAGGGAUAUAUUUCCUCAGUAAUAGAGCAUUUGGUGACAUUUAUAGAGAAACCGAGGGACGUCCAUCUUUACUCCAGAUGAAUGAAGGGCUGCUGGUUAGAUUGCAGGUGGUGUUGCAGGCGGACCAGAUCUCACUGUCUUCCCUCAUGUUGUAUUUCCUGACCCAUGCAGACAAAUAAACCUGCUUCAUCUACCAUCAUCGUUUCCGAGUGUAUCACCAGUAAAACACAAC